rnacentral:misc_RNA from 1 species
CGCAGCAAGGCCUGAACGGCUUGGUUCUCUCUAGAAUCAAUUGGCUUAUUGUUGCGAUGUUGUGUUUGCAAACUCGUAUUUCGAGUUAGGUAGAUUUCUACCAUCCUGUUUUGUACAGAUA